AUGAUGCUGCACUCAAUAUGCCAGCAAAUUUGGAAAACUCAGCAGUGGCCACAGGACUGGAAAAGGUCAGUUUUCAUUCCAAUCUCAAAGAAAGGAAAUGCCAAAGAAUGCUCAAACUACCACACAACUGCACUCAUCUCACAUGCUAGUAAAGUAAUGCUCAAAAUUCUCCAAGCCAGACUUCAGCAAUAUGUGAACCGUGAACUCCUUGACGUUCAAGCUGGUUUUAGAAAAGGCAGAGGAACCAGAGAUCAAAUUGACAACAUCCGCUGGAUCAUGGAAAAAGCAAAAGAGUUCCAGGAAAACAUCUAUUUCUGUUUUACUGACUAUGCCAAAGCCUUUGACUGUGUGGAUCACAAUAAACUGUGGAAAAUUCUGAAAGAGAUGGGAAUACCAGACUACCUAACCUGCCUCUUGAGAAAUCUGUAUGCAGGUCAGGAAGCAACAGUUAGAACUCGACAUGGAACAACAGACUGGUUCCAAAUAGGAAAAGGAGUACGUCAAGGUUGUAUAUUGUCACCCUGCUUAUUUAACUUCUAUGCAGAGUACAUCAUGAGAAACACUGGGCUGGAAGAAACACAAGCUGGAAUCAAGAUUGCCAGGAGAAAUAUCAAUAACCUCAGAUACGCAGAUGACACCACCCUUAUGGCAGAAAGUGAAGAGGAGCCAAAAAGCUUCUUGAUGAAAGUGAAAGAGGAGAGUGAAAAAGUUGGCUUAAAACUCAACAUUCAGAAAACGAAGAUCAUGGCAUCUUGUCCCAUCACUUCAUGGGAAAUAGAUGGGGAAACAGUAGAAACAGUGUCAGACUUUAUUUUUUGGGGCUCCAAAAUCACUGCAGAUGGUGCUUGUAGCCAUGAAAUUAAGAGACUCUUACUCCUUGGAAGAAAAGUUAUGACCAACCUAGAUAGCAUAUUCAAAAGUAGAGACAUUACUUUGCCGACUAAGGUCCAUCUAGUCAAGGCUAUGGUUUUUCCUGUGGUCAUGUAUGGAUGCGAGAGUUGGACUGUGAAGAAAGCUGAGUGCUGA
rnacentral:lncRNA from 1 species